CCCCCCGAUUGCCCCCAACAGAAAACGCACUACGAUUGCGGAAUAUUCACAAUGCUCUUCAUGAAGCAAUGGGAUGGGAAGAUCAUGGCCAACUUUUCCAAGGAUACAUACGGCCAUUGGGCGAUUAUCACCGAACUAAUCAUAACUUCGCAGCUCAACAACCAAGAUCCUACCUGGGUACUGAAGACCAACUGAGGAACCGUCUUAGUCGCGAUCAAACAAAUAAUAUUCCUCGUAGAUAAUCACGCCGACGAGCAUUCAACAGAAUAAACGAUCGCGCUUCUGCAAACUAUGUGCUUCCAAGUUUCUUUUUUUC